CAAGCUAGCGGCACGCCAGACGCGCGUGCAUGCGUCAUGCGCCAGACAAGCCGCAGGAGUGAGCGAGGCCGGCUGUGCAAGUGAAGCUCGUGUGCUCGGCGACCCGUCUUUUUUGGAUGUAGCCCGUUUUUUGGGCUCCCGGCGUUCUCUUGUGUUCCGUCUGCAUUUCGACACGGCACCGCUGCACUACUGGACUACAGCAAGCUGAUGGCAUCCGGUGGAGCAUCGUACGGCAACGACUGCUGCUUACCUGGUGCCGCAACAUUGGAUGAACGCAGAAGCCCGGAACGAGCAUUUAUAUAGAGCAAAAUAAACAUUUCAUCAUUUCAGAAGA
rnacentral:lncRNA from 1 species